AUAUAUAUAUAUAAAAUAGGAUCAAAGAAUCCUGGCAGAUAUCAAGUAAGCAUUCAGUAUAAAGGAAUAAGGUUAAAUUUCCAACAGGUAGAUACCAGUAAAUGUAUGUAGAAUACAAAUCCCAGGUAAAUCCUCAUAUAAGGCAGGUUACCAUAAAUUUACA